rnacentral:tRNA from 1 species
CAAGUUAUAGCUUAACUGAAAGUUUUUUUCUUACACUAAAGAGAUCAUUGUGCAACUCAUUGUAACUUGA